rnacentral:rRNA from 1 species
UACGAAGGGGGUUAGCGUUGCUCGGAAUUACUGGGCGUAAAGGGCGCGUAGGCGGACAGUUUAGUCAGAGGUGAAAGCCCAGGGCUCAACCUUGGAAUUGCCUUUGAUACUGGCUGUCUUGAGUUCGGGAGAGGUGAGUGGAAUGCCGAGUGUAGAGGUGAAAUUCGUAGAUAUUCGGCGGAACACCAGUGGCGAAGGCGACUCACUGGCCCGAUACUGACGCUGAGGCGCGAAAGCGUGGGGAGCAAACAGG